UACGAAGGGGGCUAGCGUUGUUCGGAAUUACUGGGCGUAAAGCGCACGUAGGCGGAUUGUUAAGUCAGGGGUGAAAUCCUGGAGCUCAACUCCAGAACUGCCUUUGAUACUGGCGAUCUCGAGUCCGGGAGAGGUGAGUGGAACUGCGAGUGUAGAGGUGAAAUUCGUAGAUAUUCGCAAGAACACCAGUGGCGAAGGCGGCUCACUGGCCCGAUACUGACGCUGAGGCACGAAAGCGUGGGUAGCAAACAGGG
rnacentral:rRNA from 1 species